AGAUCAAAUCAGAAUUCCCAAAACAGGGUUUUAGUCCUGCCCGUGUGAACAAGGCUUUAGUCUCUCUAAACCACAGGAGGUUGGUGGCUGCUUAAUUGGGGAGAACGGGCUCAUGGUAAUUACUGGAGCAGAAUUAGUGGAAUGGUAUCAAACACAUGGUUUCCAGGUAUUUGAUGCCAUUACAUUAGCUCUGUUCUCCCCUCAGCAGCCUCCUGUGCUCUAGACAGACAGAUUGCUUCCGGCAAUGUAUCAGUGCUCAUUCUUAACACGUCUGUACAAGUUGAGGCGUCGCUGGGACAGAGAGGACGAGUCGGAAACGCGAAGCGCGUCACUGGUAACAUCACAGCGGUAUACGCUUGUUGUCCUAGCUAAACAUGAGCACAAUUUUCCUUAGCAUUUUAAGCCCUCGCCUACCCAAACUCGUGAUUUGUUGGGAGAGCUGUCUGUCUGAAGAGGACUCUCUCCGGGACACGCUUUUUUUUGUUGUUGUCCCUUUCGAAAUGACAGAGAGAAUCCGACAUCCUCCCCAGACGUUGUGCCGUUUACAAUGCUCCAAGGUCUGGGAUAUCAGAGACUAGGGACUGUUGAGACCUUGUACAACCAGGUAUGCAGACGAGGAGGCAUACGAUGGCAUGUCAAUUGCUAUUGGUAUGUUUUGCAGAUCACAUUUACCAUCUUCCUCUCUUACCUCUUCAAUGAAUAUCCCAUAAGCCUCAUUAUGGACAAGACUUCCCCUUCCCUACACCUUGAUGAAUAUAACAGGAAACCUGUUCGAUCACCAUGCACUGCAAAAUCAUUCUGGCUAUGGAUACGGAGAACCACAAGACAUUAACAUCAACACGCCAGAGGAUAUACCCAUUAUACUAGGGGCUCUGCUGGGAGUAUACCUCAUAUUUAGAUUUUUUUAUUCUGCCUUGCCGCUAAAAUCAUAAUAAACACAACACUGACAACUAAAAUAUUGUGUUAUUGUUGUUAUUGGUAUGCAUAUUAUUACUAUUAUUAACAAUAAUAUUAUUAACAAUAAUAGUAAUAGGGGAGGGGCGGUAGUUCAAAAAUGUACUUAUAGGGGUUUCAAUUUGAAGAACCCCUAAAGGAUAC
rnacentral:lncRNA from 13 species